rnacentral:Y_RNA from 1 species
AGCUGGUCCAAAGGUAGUGAGUUAUCUCACUUGAUUGCUCACAGUCAGUUACAGAUUGCACUACUUCUACUCUUCCCCCUUCUCACUGCUGCACUUGACUUGUCAAAA